GCUGUGGCUCAGUGGUAGAGCACUUGCCUAGCAUCUGUGAGGCACUGGGUUCAAUCCCCAGCAUUGCA
rnacentral:tRNA from 1 species